rnacentral:rRNA from 1 species
CGCGUAGACGGUUUUGUAAGUCAGAUGUGAAAUCCCUGGGCUCAACCUGGGAACUGCAUUUGAUACUGCAUGGCUAGAGUAUGGAAGAGGGAAGUGGAAUUUCCGGUGUAGCGGUGAAAUGCGUAGAUAUCGGAAGGAACACCAGUGGCGAAAGCGACUUCCCGGUCCAAUACUGACGUUCAUGUGCGAAAGCGUGGGGAGCAAACAGGAUUAGAUACCCUGGUAGUCCACGCCAUAAACGAUGACAACUAGAUGUUGGGAGGGUCUGCCUCUCGGUGUCGCAGCUAACGCGUUAAGUUGUCCGCCUGGGGAGUACGGCCGCAAGGUUGAA